UCUCAAUUUAUUUGUCAUUAAGGUCUUACCCAGAUGAAAUAAAAUGACAAGACCAGAUGGACUCCUGACGAGUGUCUGGAUGUUCAACAUCAAUCACUUUUACACCAACAAAACAUCCUAUUACACAGGGUACUGCAUUGCUUCAGAUAUUCUAACUUUUUGACCAGCGACUUUGGUAUCGGAUCCAUACAUUACACUUUUUCCUGCGGGAAAAAAAAAAAAAUUGUACAACUGCAUAAAUAUAAAACUCUUCCACCAUGAAAAUGACUAAAACAUUCAUUAGAAAGUUACACCACGUCAUGUGAUGUCUCCAGCAACAACAACAAAAAAAAAUGGUUCGUUUUAAAAGCACAGAGUCGCUGUCAGUGUUUCCAUGAAGGAGGAAGGAAGCUAGUCUCCCUGCCUGCUGCUAGAUACACAGAACACUGCUAGCUCUAGACUACAAUAGAGAGGAGGAGGAGAAGCAUUGGACAUAGAGAGAGGAGGAGGAGGAGAAGCAUUGGACAUAUAGAGGAGGAGGAGGAGAAGCAUUGAACAUAGAGAGAGGAGGAGGAGGAGGUGAAGCAUUGGACAUAGAGAGGAGGAGGAGAAGCAUUGGACAUAGAGAGAGGAGGAGAAGCAUUGGACAUAGAGAGAGGAGGAGAAGCAUUGGACAUAUAGAGGAGGAGGAGGAGGAGAAGCAUUGGACAUAUAGAGGAGGAGGAGGAGAAGCAUUGGACAUAUAGAGGAGGAGGAGGCGAAGCAUUGGACAUAGAGAGAGGAGGAGAAGCAUUGGACAUAGAGAGAGGAGGAGAAGUAUUGGACAUAUAGAGGAGGAGGAGGAGGAGAAGCAUUGGACAUAUAGAGAGGAGGAGAAGCAUUGGACAUAGAGAGAGGAGGAGGUGAAGCAUCAAACAAGACAUUUCAUUAAACCCUCUGUCCCAUAUUAAAGUUGAUCCAAAAAGAAAAAAAUAAAGUAAUGUAGAAAUAUUCUCCCACAAUCAACUCAAAAAGACACAGGAAAAAGCAUUCCAGGGAGUGCAGCCAUUUACUGACAGACUUACAGAUCAGAGCGUACCAUGCCAGUAUUUUCAGUUAGUAAGAGUAUAUUAACACAUCCACACACUCACAUUAACACACACACACACACACACCCCUUGGACCACUAAAGCUUACUGACAUAAGACAACAGAAAUUACAACAUGGCUUGGAAAGGACCACUGUAUGUCACUACUGCACUGGAUACUCCAAACGUACAUAGAAAGCACAUUAGGCAGAAUACUUAGGGGACAGACAGAAACACUGCUCGCUACAUAUCAGUAGUGGAAUUGCAAUUUACAGUAAGAGAUGAACAUGUCCCAUGGCUCAAGGACUUCUCAUUUACAGUAGAAUAAAUAUGUUGCAAUUGCUACUCUUCCUGUAAUGUACAUUCUAAACCCUAGACAUUAUGCAGGAAGCCAGUGUAGUGUACAUUCUAAACCCUAGACAUUAUGCAGGAAGCCAGUGUAGUGUACAUUCUAAACCCUAGACAUUAUGCAGGAAGCCAGUGUAGUGUACAUUCUAAACCCUAGACAUUAUGCAGGAAGCCAGUGUAAUGUACACAGAUUAACUGUAGGUCCCCGUAUAUUAUGAAAGUUUGUUCCAAGACUAGUCGUGUUUUUUUUAAUAUAACUUUUUUUUUUUUUUCUUCUCUCUAAAUCAUCUUGUUUUGAAAUGUGGGAAGAUAACAGUGUGUUUUUUUUCAUAGCUGAGGUCAUGAAUUGGCGAUAGUGAACUUAACGUCAAAGCGUCCUUGGUAGCGAUCUUUCUCGCUGUAGUCAAUGUUCGCUCCGUACACUUUGCACUCGAGACGCAGCUCCUCGUUGAAGGUGAGGUUGGUAAACUGGAUGGCCACCAGAGGUUGCAGGUAGUUUGGAUGCAGCAGCUUGCCGUAGUAAGGGUAGUACUGGAGGGGGAACCCCAUUCCCAUGCCAUAGUACUUGAUCUCACCAAUCUUGCUGGCAUCCUCCUCUCUCUGUAGAGAAUGACAUCACAGUUAAGUAGGCUGCCAUUACAGAACAAG
rnacentral:lncRNA from 1 species